AGAGCGAACGCUGGCGGCAUGCCUAACACAUGCAAGUCGAACGCUUUUGGGGCUUCGGUCCCAAAGGAGUGGCGCACGGGUGAGUAGCGCGUGGGAACCUGCCCUGGAGUGGGGGAUAACCGAGGGAAACUUCGGCUAAUACCGCAUACGCCGGGAAACCGGGAAAGAUUUAUCGCUCUAGGAGGGGCCCGCGUCGGAUUAGGUAGUUGGUGGGGUAACGGCCUACCAAGCCUGUGAUCCGUAGCUGGUCUGAGAGGAUGAUCAGCCACACUGGGACUGAGACACGGCCCAGACUCCUACGGGAGGCAGCAGUGGGGAAUAUUGGACAAUGGGCGCAAGCCUGAUCCAGCAAUGCCGCGUGAGUGAUGAAGGCCUUCGGGUUGUAAAGCUCUUUCGCACGCGAGGAUGAUGACGCUAGCGUGAGAAGAAGCCCGGCUAACUUCGUGCCAGCAGCCGC
rnacentral:rRNA from 1 species